GAAAGCAAAUCAUUCAGUCCAGGUGCAACCUCACAACAGGGUUACACCUGGGAUGAAUUUGGUCCAAUAUGUUUUGAAGCCUCCUAUAAAACUUCCUUUAUGGUUUGCAUACCAUUUGUAGCACGAGAAAGGAUCUGAUAGAGGACCUCAAGCAUAGCGAGUUCUUUUUGUUGCUUUCCUUCUUUCUGUUACUGGAAAUACAUGCCACAGGAAGCAAGCAGCCAUCACUGAGUGUGCUCUAAUUCCUGUUUUACAAAGGGAGAAGAUGGAGUUCAUCAGUAUGUUACUUUUCUUGCUGCAAGUUUCAAGUGCAGCAAGACGACGCAUUCAAGUGACUGGUGAGGUUGGAGGAUCCAUCACCAUAAAGUGUCCUGUGAAGGACAUUUCCAGUCGAAAAUUCUGGUGCAGGGAGCUCGAGACAGGGGUCUGUGGCACCAUCAUCUCCACCUCACCAUACAUCAGUGAGAAUUACAGGAAUAGAAUAUCCAUCACUGAGGAGCCUCAGGAAGGAAUAUUUCAAAUUACAAUCACAAGACUGGAAGAGGAUGACACUGGGCUGUACACGUGUGGGACAGGAUAUAAAAAUGACAAAGGCAGUGGAAGGACCCUCCAAGUGGAGCUGAAGGUUUCUAACGGGAAUGUUCCACCCAGAAUGGGCAUGUUGUCGGCUGAACCCCUGAGACGUGACAGACCUAUUGUGGUACCAGCAGAGUCUGGCAACAAAAGUGCUGACACUCAAGGAGUCACACAACCACAGAUGACUAAUGGAGCAUGGGCAAAAUAUACCUCCUAUGCUGUGCCUGGCAUCAAAUUCCCCGGAAGUACGAUAAUCACACCUGCAGACAUCAUUGGCAGCACUGUUACCAAUGCAGCGUCUGGAAGUACAACAAAGGGGAUUCCAAAGAAUUCCAGGACAAUCGGCUAUGCACAUUCCAGGCAUACAAAGCGCCUCUUGAGAAGCAAUUAUGGGAAUGAUGUCUUUCAAAUCCUGAUACCAGUUCUCCUGAUAAUGCUUCUGCUUCUGGCUUCUAUGAUAAUUGUUAGAAAACAGCUACGAGGGAAGAAAGCCAUUACAAUCUACAUGUUUGGAUGUUUUGGAGAAGCAGCUUCCAGUGAAACCUAUGGAAUAAACCUGAGGUUGGGUGCACUCGAACAUGGCCAAGGGCACGUUCCAAUGGAAAAUAUCUACAGCGUGUUACCCCGCCGGCUCCAGGGAGCGGACAGGAACAGUUCUCAUGUACCUUGUGACUCAUAUCACUGCAGAGUUGACUUAUAAGAGCUACUGUGACGGCACAUCGGUCACCAGGCACAGCUGAGGAAGGACUUGAGGCACACGCAAAGCCGCCUCCAAUCAGCACCUGAACCCUACAUAUCAAAGCAUUACUUUGAUGCUGUGACCGCACUGCUCUGCAGAAGCUGGUCUACAUGCUUUCUCCGCACAAAGGACUAAUGCUAAGUUUACAAAGGUCUAAAGAAGAACUCGAUGUAGCAUGUCCCUUCUACCAGCAGAAAUUGGUCCAAUAGAAGAUAUUACCUCACUCAAGGUGUCUCACUUUUAAUUUAUAGCAGUAUAAGUGAAAUCAGAUUCAGACCCUAAACUACUAUCAGAGGCCUAGAGAGGUCCCUCCGUGUAUACCCCUACUAGUGUGGUGGGGUGGGGGAGCUUAUACUGCUACGCUCCAGGCAGAAGGUGUCAUCCCAGACUACUUCACAGUGACCAUCAGCCUGGUUCUGGAUCCUGUUCUCUAGUCACCAUUCCCUUCCAUGACUUUGGAUUCCUGGCCAGGACUUACUAUGACCCCCACGUGGGUACACUGGAGAGAAUGGGCUGUGUUAGUCUGGGAGUGAAAGACAACCACAGGCCCAUCUGUGUCCAGUAGCUUCAAUAAGGAAUCCUCCUUAUAUUGCUCAUGGCUAAGUCCUGUCUAUUCUGCAGACAGGAGGACAAUGCAGACCCUCUCCCCGUUCUCAGAUGCUGCCCUUCCCCUAACAUCUGUAAGAAAGAAAUGAUCUACAUCUGUUUUGAAAUGAACUAUUAAACUUUUAUUAGCUGCAAAAAAGUAAAGAACUUUGACCAUACAUCUUAAAUACAGUUAGACAUUUAAAAUAUUGUAAGAACAAAUAUUGUCAUUACACCUGAUGUCAGUUUCUCAAAGACAUUAUUCACUGCUAGUGGCUUGUACAAUAUGUACAUACUGAAUAAUAUAUAAUAUGAUCAUGACAUAUUAGUUAUAUAAGAACAGAUACACCUUAAAUACAUUUUACUAUAAAUACAUCUUAAAUAAAACAGAUUAUUUAAAUAGAACUUAUUUAGAAUAAAUAACAUUUGGAACUUGCAAAGCACCUUUCAUUAGAGAUCUCAAAUGAGUGUUAUGAUGGAAAUGUAGUUUUAGUUCUAAGACAUUUUACAAGUUAGUGUCUGAUAAGCUCUUGUCACUUAUACCUGUGCGUAAUGUGAUGUGGGAACCUCAAAAGGUUCCGCUUUGGGUGAAUACUUAUCUAAGUUUAUCUAAACCUCUUGGGACUGAUUCUCAUCUCACUGACACCAGAAGUGAAGUCCUGGCCCCUUUCAAAGCCAAUGGCAAAACUCCCAUUUCACUUCAGUACAGCCAGGAUUUCACCCCAGAUAUAUAGCUACACAUCUCCAUCUACUACUGUGGGGUUUCUCCUGACCUACAUGAAUGUAAGUGAAAGGAGAAUAAGACCACUUGAGCUGGAAAGUGUGGUGCCUGAUCUUGUACUCAGAGAAACAGUCUCAUUCAAGUUAACGGGACCAUUCAGGGGAGUAAGGGUUACAGUUUUGAGGAUGACCUUCGUAUGGAAAGAAAAGGGGCCUUUGUGAGUUUUCUGGUACCUCCUCCUUCCAGAUAAGCUGGAAAUGCUUUUGGAAGAGUGUUUCUCACAGUAUUCAGGUGCUUCCAUUUCUAGCCCUGAUUGGGACCAAGCAGAGGCAAAGAACAAUUUAAAUAAAUUAUCUAUUGAAGCUGUGGGUGAAAAUUCUGGCUUCUUAAUGUAACUGGUACAACAAUAUGGCUGAAGGAGAUGCUCCUGAACUGAUUUAGAUCCAGCAUUUGGUUCAGGCCCAUCAUUAGUAGAAAGUACCAAACAAGUAGAGAUAUAAUGUUGUUGGGCCCUGUGAAAUGGAAACAACAUCAGUGUGUUCCUGAUGUGACAUCUCCACUCCCAUGGCCUGGGGCUGAAAAUCAGUGAGUGCUCACAAUUCCAGGAUCAGGCAAUCUGCUUUAGCUGUGCAGCUCCGUCAAAUGAAAGUAGCUCACAGCCUACAUCACCAGAUCCCUUGAGAUUCUAAAGAGCAGGAUCUUGGGGAAUUUCUCCUUGAGCCAUGCAGACAUCUGCCUCUUUCAGUAACAAACAAUUAACAUACACAGGACCAUUGUCACCUAGUGUACCCUGUCAGACCUCUUUGGGCUUCCAUGGAGCUACAUCACUUUACACUGUAUUACAGAAAACAAAAACAACCUGAAGAUUUGUAAAUAAUUUUGAA